GGCCGACUGGCUUAGUUGGUUAUGGCGUCGUGCUAAUAACACGAAGGUCUUGGGUUCAAUCCCCAAGUUGGCCA
rfam:Hypholoma sublateritium FD-334 SS-4 unplaced genomic scaffold scaffold_30, whole genome shotgun sequence.